GACGAACGCUGGCGGCGUGCUUAACACAUGCAAGUCGAACGGAAAGGCCCUGCUUUUGUGGGGUGCUCGAGUGGCGAACGGGUGAGUAACACGUGAGUAACCUGCCCUUGUCUUUGGGAUAACUUCAGGAAACUGGGGCUAAUACCGGAUAGGAGCUCCUGCUGCAUGGUGUGGGUUGGAAAGUUUCGGCGGUUGGGGAUGGACUCGCGGCUUAUCAGCUUGUUGGUGGGGUAGUGGCUUACCAAGGCUUUGACGGGUAGCCGGCCUGAGAGGGUGACCGGCCACAUUGGGACUGAGAUACGGCCCAGACUCCUACGGGAGGCAGCAGUGGGGAAUAUUGCACAAUGGGCGGAAGCCUGAUGCAGCAGCGCCGCGUGCGGGAUGACGGCCUUCGGGUUGUAAACCGCUUUCGCCUGUGACGAAGCGUGAGUGACGGUAAUGGGUAAAGAAGCACCGGCUAACUACGUG
rnacentral:rRNA from 1 species